ensembl:lncRNA
AAAUGACCCAUGUGUUUCCAUCACUGAAGCUUAGCUAGUUUUCUCUCAGCUGUUUCUCUCCCUUGAUCACCCAUCUCUCAAGCUGCCUCUCUCUCUCUCUUGCUCUCCGUUGCCUCUCUGUUGCUUCUAUUUCAUUCUUUUUAUCUCUCUCUGUCAUCUCUUGUUCUCUGUCUUUCUCUCUAAUAUUUCUUAAAUCACUUCAUCAAAUUUGAACAAGAGAUUUACAUGUGAAGUAGUUUUGGCCUGGGAAUUUUUUUAUCUUUUUACCCAAUAAAUCUUCUGCAUGUGAGCAGAUCACCUGUAUAGUCUUCCUUGAGGGAUUUGAGUUCAAAGGAGAGCUGAGGAGAGAUGCUCCACUUUCUUCACCAUCUUCAUGGCUCUUUGCUGUACUAUUUUCAGUAGCUCCAUGUCUCCAACAAGAGCACAGAAUGACAGAAUCACAGAAUGGCCUGGGUUGGAAGAGACCUCAAGGAUCAUGAAUCUCCAAACUGCCUGCCGGACAGGGCCACCAACCUCCCCAUUUACUAGACCAGGUUGCCCAGGGUCCCAUCCAACCUGGCCUUGAACACCUCCAGGGACGGAGCAUCUACAACCUCUCUGGGCAGCCCGUUCCAGCACCUCACCACUCUCCUGAACAUCCGGAAAACACUGUUGUCAAGAACUUUGACUUCUAGCCUGUCUGGGCUCUUCAAAUGGAACCAGGAAAUGCUUGUGGAAGUUCAGAAAGCUGCUAAAAUGAGGGACCUGUGGAAUUUCCAUCUGGAGACAGUCAUUUAUCAACAGGUGAAGCAGAAGGGAGCAAACAUGCUAAAAAAGCUGGUCAUGGUAAAUAAAACAUACAUAAAAAGAAAAAGGAAGCAAAGGCUCAGAGAUGUAUAUUAGAUGAUAGUCGUGAUUAAAUCUAUGUUUGCAAAUGUAUAUUUUUGUUCAUUCAAAACCAAAUUUCUGUUUAAAUGAGUGACUAGCCCCAAAAAGUCUGUUUUGUAUCUACACCUCAUUAAAGAAACACAUUCUGGAAUUGUGUCAGAAAUAAUUAAAUGUCUAAGCAUAGUGAACCAUCAAAGUAUCUCAAUAAUACUCCUUAUUUGUGCAGAAAUAUAUAUUCCUAUUUGCAUAGAAGUGUUGCUGAAACAUCUUCAAAACAAAUUCUGAAAAGAAGACAAGGAAACUAUUCAUGACAAUGAAAAUUUAGUAAGAAGAAAUAUCAGCUAGGUGACACAAAACUGAGUGUCAGUUCUAUCAUCUUCUGCUGAUGAUGGUCACUUGUUAAGAUACAAAGAAAGCUGAUUCUGUGCCCUAGAAAUAUUAAAGAGAAAAUUGUAACUGAAUCUCAUUUGAAAUACCAUUUACACGGAAGGACUGAUAUCAAGAGAGAGCAGAUAAUGAAAACAUUAAUAAAAUAAACACAAAAAAGCCCAUCCUAUAUCAGUAUAGUUGCAUGUCCAACCGUUAGGACAUUGUUAGUUAUGAGUUAAUUGAUAACCAAGGGCCUUUUGCAUCUCAUCUUAU